CACACACACACACAUAGAGUCAAUGUCUAGUAACAAGAGAACAAACAAGUUGUGACCUCAGCCAUAAAACAGGAUGUUACUUUAAACAAGACAGACACAUGCAUGCACACACAUAAGCAGAAUAAAUGUCUAGUUACCAGAAGACCCACAAGUAGUGACAUCAGCCAUUAAACAAGUGCAAAAGUGUAAUAAUGAUGUUAAAGUGUUUAGUCCUUCUGGUUUUCUUUAUCAACAGUAACGAUGGACACACUGAAUUCAUUUAUACCACAAACAAUGAAGUUAAAUUGCAGUGCAGCACCAACAAAUGGCAAAUCAGCACAAAGUCUGACAACAUCAUUAAUGUAA